rnacentral:rRNA from 1 species
GGUAGGACUACCCGCUGAACUUAAGCAUAUCAAUAAGCGGAGGAAAAGAAACUAACAAGGAUUCCCCUAGUAACUGCGAGUGAAGCGGGAAAAGCUCAAAUUUAAAAUCUGGCGGU